GGGCAAGUUUCAUACAGCCAGCUCCCUCUGAAGUCCGUCAGGGUCGGAAGACAGCAGCGGUAGGAGGUCGUAGCGGCGUGAUAUGAAGGGCUUGCCCCUU
rnacentral:SRP_RNA from 3 species